GAUGAACGCUGGCGGCGUGCUUAACACAUGCAAGUCGAACGGAAAGGCCCAAGCUUGCUUGGGUACUCGAGUGGCGAACGGGUGAGUAACACGUGGGUGAUCUGCCCUGCACUUCGGGAUAAGCCUGGGAAACUGGGUCUAAUACCGGAUAGGACGAUGGUUUGGAUGCCAUUGUGGAAAGUUUUUUCGGUGUGGGAUGAGCUCGCGGCCUAUCAGCUUGUUGGUGGGGUAAUGGCCUACCAAGGCGUCGACGGGUAGCCGGCCUGAGAGGGUGUACGGCCACAUUGGGACUGAGAUACGGCCCAGACUCCUACGGGAGGCAGCAGUGGGGAAUAUUGCACAUUGGGCGCAAGCCUGAUGCAGCGACGCCGCGUGGGGGAUGACGGCCUUCGGGUUGUAAACUCCUUUCGCUAGGGACGAAGCGUUUUUGUGACGGUACCUGGAGAAGAAGCACCGGCUAACUACGUG
rnacentral:rRNA from 1 species